rnacentral:rRNA from 1 species
UACGUAGGUGGCAAGCGUUGUCCGGAUUGACUGGGCGUAAAGCGCACGCAGGCGGUCGUGCGCGUGGGGUGUGAAAUCUGGCCGCUUAACGGCCAGGCGCCAUCCCAUACGGCACGACUGGAGGGCUGCAGAGGUCGAUGGAAUUGCCGGUGUAGUGGUGAAAUGCGUAGAGAUCAGGAAGAACACCGGUGGCGAAAGCGUUCUGCUAGACCUGUACUGACACUGAGGGACGAAAGCUAGGGGAGCGAAUGGG